rnacentral:tRNA from 1 species
UCAUUAGAUGGCUGAAAGUAAGCAAUGGAAUUUUAAACCAUACUAUAGUAUUUAACAUUUACUUCUAAUG